AGGGCACCACCAGGAGUGGAGCCUGCGGCUUAAUUUGACUCAACACGGGAAAACUCACCCGGCCCGGACACUGGAAGGAUUGACAGAUUGAGAGCUCUUUCUUGAUUCAGUGGGUGGUGGUGCAUGGCCGUUCUUAGUUGGUGGAGUGAUUUGUCUGGUUAAUUCCGAUAACGAACGAGACUCUAGCCUACUAAAUAGAUCGUCGGCUUACAAACGCCGGCGAGACUUCUUAGAGGGACAGGCGGUGAUUCAACCGCACGAAACAGAGCAAUAACAGGUCUGUGAUGCCCUUAGAUGUCCGGGGCCGCACGCGCGCUACACUGAAGUGAUCAGCGUGCUUUUUCAACCUACUCUGUCGAGAGUGGGGAACCCAAUGAACCUUCUUCGUGAUUGGGAUAGGGGAUUGUAAUUAUUCCCCUUGAACGAGGAAUUCCCAGUAAGCGCGAGUCAUAAGCUCGCGUUGGUUACGUCCCCGCCCUUUGUACACCCCGCCCGUCGCUACUACCGAUUGAAUGUUUU
rnacentral:rRNA from 1 species